UGAGAGGGUGACCGGCCACACUGGGACUGAGACACGGCCCAGACUCCUACGGGAGGCAGCAGUGGGGAAUAUUGCACAAUGGGCGAAAGCCUGAUGCAGCAACGCCGCGUGAGGGAUGAAGGCCUUCGGGUUGUAAACCUCUUUUAGUUGGGAAGAAGCGAAAGUGACGGUACCAACAGAAAAAGCACCGGCUAACUACGUGCCAGCAGCCGCGGUAAUACGUAGGGUGCAAGCGUUGUCCGGAAUUAUUGGGCGUAAAGAGCUCGUAGGCGGUUUGUCGCGUCUGCUGUGAAAAUCCGAGGCUCAACCUCGGACCUGCAGUGGGUACGGGCAAACUAGAGUGCGGUAGGGGAGAAGGGAAUUCCUGGUGUAGCGGUGGAAUGCGCAGAUAUCAGGAGGAACACCGAUGGCGAAGGCACUUCUCUGGGCCGUAACUGACGCUGAGGAGCGAAAGCGUGGGGAGCGAACAGGAUUAGAUACCCUGGUAGUCCACGCCGUAAACGGUGGGUGCUAGUUGUGGGCCACAUUCCACGUGGUCCGUGACGCAGCUAACGCAUUAAGCACCCC
rnacentral:rRNA from 1 species